rnacentral:rRNA from 1 species
CGUACGAGAGUUUUUAAUUCAAGUGGCGGACGGGUGAGUAACACGUAAGAAUUUGCCUUUAGGAGGGGGACAACAAUUGGAAACGAUUGCUAAUACCCCAUAUGCUUUCGAGUGAAAUGGAUUUUUUCUGCCUGAAGAGAAGCUUGCGGCUGAUUAGCUUGUUGGUAGGGUAAUGGCCUACCAAGGCGACGAUCAGUAUCUGGUUUGAGAGGACGAUCAGACACACUGGAACUGAGACACGGUCCAGACUCCUACGGGAGGCAGCAGUAGGGAAUUUUCCGCAAUGGGCGAAAGCCUGACGGAGCAAUACCGCGUGAGGGAUGACUGCCCAUGGGUUGUAAACCUCUUUUUUCAGGGAGGAAUAAAUGACGUGUACCUGAAGAAUAAGCAUCGGCUAACUCCGUGCCAGCAGCCGCGGUAAGACGGAGGAUGCAAGUGUUAUCCGGAAUCACUGGGCGUAAAGCGUCUGUAGGUGGUCGAAUAAGUCUACUGUUAAAUCUUAAGGCUCAACCUUAAAAUCGCAGUGGAAACUAUUCGACUAGAGUAUAGUAGAGGUAAAGGGAAUUUCCAGUGGAGCGGUGAAAUGCGUAGAGAUUGGAAAGAACACCGAUGGCGAAGGCACUUUACUGGGCUAUUACUGACACUCAGAGACGAAAGCUAGGGUAGCAAAUGGGAUUAGAUACCCCAGUAGUCCUAGCCGUAAACGAUGGAUACUAGGUGUUGAACAGAUCGAACU